rnacentral:lncRNA from 1 species
ACAACAACAACAACUACCCAGUAUGCUCCCACCAGGUGGGGUCUGGGGAGGGUAAUAUGUAGACGAGCCUUAACCCUGCCCGAAAGGGCAGAGAGACUGCUUCCAAUCGACCCUCGGCGAGUAGUGUAAAAAUGGGAAAGCUGCAUUAAGAAACAGAGAUAAAAUUAGAUACACAAGCAAGACAAAAUCAAAUAAUAAAGCAUAGGUACUCCCAUAAAAGUAACGUAAAUAGUUAUGAAAACAUAAGCAACAUAAAUACAGUCGCAUGCAGUAAUAUCAAGCAGGAACUACCAUACUACAAC